rnacentral:lncRNA from 1 species
CAGGUGGGGAAAUAGGAGGAAAUAAGAUCAAAGAUCUUAUGAAAUUACUUUAAACUGACCGUGGUAAGAGUAGGUGUACCAGGUAGCUCCUGAAUGAGAGCAGAGAAGCAUAUGGGAGUCUUUCUAGAGCAUGAUCUUUCCUUAUUAACAUCAUUACUUUGUUUCUCAUUAGUGUACCUAGAGUGAAGUACCCGGAGAUUCAUGGAUGGCAGCUGUUUCCUCCCAUUCUGGGAAUAAGAAGAAAAUAGAGAGCAUUGAGAAGCAGCAUCCAACUCAGCGCAUAUGCUUGGUUUACCGUACACAUUUGUCACUAGUGUCCAGGACCCAAAGCUCACAGGAUGGAAUGUGUUCAUGAGCAUACAUGGGUGUGCAUGCAUAUAGACAUAGCAUGCAAGGAACAGCCAUCACAGAAGUAGCUACCUGAACAAAGUUCUGAGUCUCUCAAGUGCUCAACAACCAGACGACAGGCCCCUUGGGCAGCUGCCACCAUGAUGACCCACAGU